rnacentral:rRNA from 1 species
CCUACGGGGGGCAGCAGUGAGGAAUAUUGGUCAAUGGCCGGAAGGCUGAACCAGCCAAGUCGCGUGAGGGAAUAAGGCCCUAUGGGUCGUAAACCUCUUUUGUCAGGGAGCAAAGGCGUCCACGAGUGGACGAAAGGAGAGUACCUGAAGAGAAAGCAUCGGCUAACUCCGUGCCAGCAGCCGCGGUAAUACGGAGGAUGCGAGCGUUAUCCGGAUUUAUUGGGUUUAAAGGGUGCGGAGGCGGUCGGAUAAGUUAGAGGUGAAAUGCCGAGGCUCAACUUCGGAAUUGCCUCUGAUAUUGUUCG